rnacentral:lncRNA from 1 species
AGCUAUUCAUUACUACCUAGUAACUUCAAACAAAAUGAUAGCUUGGAACUCAAUACCUUUAAGGUCUUUCUAAGUCUAUAAUUUAUAGUUUUUCAUCAAAAGAAAUAUUACUUUAUCUAAAGUUUUUUUAAUAAAAUAAAGCAAUGACUAAUAACUUGAAACCUUCUCUCCAGCAAGUUUGUUUAAUUUAAAAAAAUGGUUUUACUAAAAUAAUUCUGAUUCCGUUUUGGUCUUCAAUUAUUAGUUCUAAACACCAAACAUGUCUUUCUAAUGAAAAUCAAAUUAUUGAAAUUUUUGCCAUACCUUUUUUGUCACAUUGUUCAUUGGUGUUUCUGAAUUUUGAUUUCAGGAGUUGGGGAACUAGAAUCACUCCUAAGGGAUAAAGCAUUUUGAGUCACUUCCAGAGAGUGUUUUGAUUUAUGCUGUAGCCAAUAUCAUCUUGAAAUUGUCCUCCCCUUCUCAUCACUAAUAUUGCUGAAGAGACACUCUCCUCAUUACCAAGCAAAACCAGACCGGUUAACUUGCCCAAGAUCUAUAGCUUGCUGCAGUGAUCUCAUCGGUCUGUGUCCCUGAUGGGAACUCAAGCAGGUGGUGCGGAGAGCAGCGAGAUGACAUACGGAGACAGAUUGCCGAAAUAGGCUGAUCCACCAGGCCAACUAAUUUUCCUUCUGAGAAGAGCAAUUAUUUUAAAUUGCCAUAUAUCAACAUGACUUUGUUCUUGCCACUAAAAUAUAACAUCAAUAAACUGUAAUGUAAAUGAGUG